GCAACAAGGUGGAGCUCAAGAUACCAAUUCGCUUUUACCCUGUGGUAUUCCCUCAUGAAAAAUGAACCAAGUCGUUUUGGAUUUAGAGCAAACUCAAACAACGAAGCCUGAUGAAACGAAGAAUCGCCUAUUAGCUGUUAUUUUUGAGGAAUGAUAAGUCACUCUCGCAGUCCAUACACCAAUGCGUGUUAUCCUUUGUCAUUGACACAUGGCAGUUUGCACGGUGACGCCCUGUUCAGACAGCUUCGUGAAGUGUUUCUCAGCACUUAAAAGAACGGGAGAGACGAUUUCAAGGAAUAAAGAGCAUUUUACAAGUCCGAUUUAUUUGGAUCUUCUCAUGGAUCCAGUAACUAUUCUCUGGACACAAUUACUGUAUAUACUGUAUUAAAAGGCUGCUGGGAUCAUGAAGAUCAGAAGGGAGUCUACAGCUGUCCCCAGUGCAGACAGGCAUUCUCUCCAAGACCCGUUUUAAACAAAAACAGUGUUUUUGCUGAGCUUGUGGAACAGAUCAAGAACACCAGAAUGCAAGCCUCUGCUCCUAUUCCAUGUAGUGCUGGGCCUGGACAUGUGGAGUGUGACGUCUGCACUGGGAGAAAACUCAAAGCUGUGAAGUCCUGUCUGGAAUGUCGGGUAUCAUACUGUGAAACUCACUACAAAGCUCACAAUGAACUUAAUUCUGGGCGAAAACACAAGGGGACUGAUGACACAGGCCAGCUACAGACACACUUGGGGGAGACCAAGAGUAAAAUCCAUCAGAUAAUCCGAGAGAGAGAGAAUGAACUGCAGGAGCUGAGGAAGGCUGUGGAGACUCUCGAGAGCUCUGCACAGACAGCAGUGGAGGAC